CUUUGUGACUAUACACACUUCCAUCUAAAUUUGUUCUAGCUUGAUAACUAGAUGGAGGUUGUCAACUAGUUUGCGAUGAUGAGUAAAUGGCUGCGUAGAUGACCAUUCUAAUCAGUGUCAAACACUAUAAUAGCAACUUGUCAAUUUAGAGUCUCUUUCGUGUCACAUAAUAAGCUUCUUUGGAUGUAAAAGCUUUCGACGUGGUUCUCUAAAGUCUUUCUUGUAACCAGAGCCUUACAGAUGACUCCCUGCACUCUUAAUAUUUUCCUUGUAUCUCUUAGAAGAAAGUUCAAGGUCCACACCCCUCUCUUUGUUUUGCUAACACUAGAAGGAUUCCCCAAAAGGCGUUGCUCUACAAAAAUGGAGAAAGAAAUAGACGAACCACCUAUCAAAUGUGGGUGUUGAACCAAACAAUGGUGUCUUAGUUCCUUUUGUAUAAGUAUUUGACACAGUGUUAGUUUUCAUCCCACUGCUUUGUAUUUUGGUACUUGUGAUUGGCAACAUCCGUGGUGGUGCCUAGCUAGGUAAUAAUAACUUCUUUGUGUUUAAUUUUUUCAUGAAUUGGGAUGAAAUUAAAAAGCAGACAAGAAGAAGCCUUGUACCAUGUGGGUUGUUUUGGCCACUAGAAUAUAUGAAUCUUGUUUCUCCUUUUCAC